rnacentral:rRNA from 1 species
AUAGCAGUGAGGAAUAUUGGUCAAUAGCCUAACGGCUGAACCAGCAACUUGGAAGAAUGAAAAACGUUACCCGACGUUGUAUAGUAGUUUACUACUAUAUUAGUAAUAAUGUUAUAUUAAGUUCUGGGUAAAUUUUUGAUAAUGACAUAAUUUGUCUAUAAGUCUUGACUAAAUCAUGUGCCAGCAGUCGCGGUAAGACAUGGAAGACAAGCGUUAUUCAUCUUUAUUAGGUUUAAAGGGUACUCAGACAGUUAAUUAAGCCUACACAAGGGACUGAUUAUACUAGAGUUUGAUAGGAGAAGGCUAGAACGGUUAGUGUAGAGAUAAAAUAUGUUGAUACAACCUUGAUACUGACAACAGCGAAGGCAACCUUUUAUGUAAAAACUGACGUUAAAGGACGAAGGCUAUAAAUAAACAACAGGAUUAGGUACCCUAGUAUUCGUGGCAGUCAAUGAUGAAUGUAGUAGGUAAGUAAUAUAGUUUACCUAUAAAUGAAAAUGUAAACAUUCCACCUUAAGAGUAAAAUGGCAACGUAGGAACUGAAAUCAUUAGACCGUUUCUGAAACCAGUAGUGAAGUAUGUUAGUUAAAUUGAUGAUCCACAAAGAACCUUACCACAACUUGAAUGUUAAUUCACAGGAGUUGCACGGCUGUCUUCAGUUGAUAUCGUGAGAUUUUGGUUAGUUCCAUUAAAUCAACGUAAACCCUUACUUUAAUUUAUACAUAAAGUAGUUCGCCAUUAUAUUGGAUACGAUAAUAGGGACUAAGACAAGUCAUCAUGACCUAAAAUGUUGUGGGC